rnacentral:rRNA from 1 species
GGAAUUUUGGGCAAUGGGCGAAAGCCUGACCCAGCAACGCCGCGUGAAGGAUGAAGUAUUUCGGUAUGUAAACUUCGUAAGAAUGGGAAGAAUAAAUGACGGUACCAUUUGUAAGGUCCGGCUAACUACGUGCCAGCAGCCGCGGUAAUACGUAGGGACCAAGCGUUGUUCGGAUUUACUGGGCGUAAAGGGCUCGUAGGCGGCCAACUAAGUCGGAUGUGAAAUCCCCAGGCUCAACCUGGGAACUGCAUCCGAUACUGGAUGGCUUGAAUUCGGGAGAGGGAUGCAGAAUUCCAGGUGUAGCGGUGAAAUGCGUAGAUAUCUGGAGGAAUACCGGUGGCGAAGGCGGCAUCCUGGACCGACAUUGACGCUGAGGAGCGAAAGCUAGGGGAGCAAAC